GCAGUCGAACGCUUCUUUUUCCCCGGAGCUUGCUCCACCGGAAAAAGAGGAGUGGCGAACGGGUGAGUAACACGUGGGUAACCUGCCCAUCAGAAGGGGAUAACACUUGGAAACAGGUGCUAAUACCGUAUAACAAUCAAAACCGCAUGGUUUUGAUUUGAAAGGCGCUUUCGGGUGUCGCUGAUGGAUGGACCCGCGGUGCAUUAGCUAGUUGGUGAGGUAACGGCUCACCAAGGCCACGAUGCAUAGCCGACCUGAGAGGGUGAUCGGCCACAUUGGGACUGAGACACGGCCCAAACUCCUACGGGAGGCAGCAGUAGGGAAUCUUCGGCAAUGGACGAAAGUCUGACCGAGCAACGCCGCGUGAGUGAAGAAGGUUUUCGGAUCGUAAAACUCUGUUGUUAGAGAAGAACAAGGAUGAGAGUAACUGUUCAUCCCUUGACGGUAUCUAACCAGAAAGCCACGGCUAACUACGUGCCAGCAGCCGCGGUAAUACGUAGGUGGCAAGCGUUGUCCGGAUUUAUUGGGCGUAAAGCGAGCGCAGGCGGUUUCUUAAGUCUGAUGUGAAAGCCCCCGGCUCAACCGGGGAGGGUCAUUGGAAACUGGGAGACUUGAGUGCAGAAGAGGAGAGUGGAAUUCCAUGUGUAGCGGUGAAAUGCGUAGAUAUAUGGAGGAACACCAGUGGCGAAGGCGGCUCUCUGGUCUGUAACUGACGCUGAGGCUCGAAAGCGUGGGGAGCAAACAGGAUUAGAUACCCUGGUAGUCCACGCCGUAAACGAUGAGUGCUAAGUGUUGGAGGGUUUCCGCCCUUCAGUGCUGCAGCUAACGCAUUAAGCACUCCGCCUGGGGAGUACGACCGCAAGGUUGAAACUCAAAGGAAUUGACGGGGGGCCCGCACAAGCGGUGGAGCAUGUGGGUUUAAUUCGAAAGCAACGCGAAGAACCUUACCAGGUCUUGACAUCCUUUGACCACUCUAGAGAUAGAGCUUCCCCUUUGGGGGCAAAGUGACAGGUGGUGCAUGGUUGUCGUCAGCUCGUGUCGUGAGAUGUUGGGUUAAGUCCCGCAACGAGCGCAACCCUUAUUGUUAGUUGCCAUCAUUCAGUUGGGCACUCUAGCAAGACUGCCGGUGACAAACCGGAGGAAGGUGGGGAUGACGUCAAAUCAUCAUGCCCCUUAUGACCUGGGCUACACACGUGCUACAAUGGGAAGUACAACGAG
rnacentral:rRNA from 1 species